rnacentral:rRNA from 1 species
GGACGAACGCUGGCGGCGCGCUUUAUACAUGCAAGUCGAACGUGAAGCUCGGAGCUUGCUCCGGGUGGAAAGUGGCGAACGGGUGAGUAUCACGUGAGAAACCUGCCCCGAAGACCGGGAUAACACCGGGAAACCGGUGCUAAUACCGGAUGCCCUCACCGGAUCGCAUGGUCUGGUGAGGAAAUGGAUUCCGCUUCGGGAUGGUCUCGCGGCCUAUCAGCUUGUUGGUGGGGGUAANGGCCCCACCAAGGCUUCGACGGGUAGCUGGUCUGAGAGGAUGUCCAGCCACACUGGGACUGAGACACGGCCCAGACUCCUACGGGAGGCAGCAGUAGGGAAUCUUGCACAAUGGACGAAAGUCUGAUGC